rnacentral:rRNA from 1 species
GACGAACGCUGGCGGCGUGCUUAACACAUGCAAGUCGAACGGAAAGGCCCUGCUUUUGUGGGGUGCUCGAGUGGCGAACGGGUGAGUAACACGUGAGUAACCUGCCCUUGACUUUGGGAUAACUUCAGGAAACUGGGGCUAAUACCGGAUAGGAGCUCCUGCUGCAUGGUGGGGGUUGGAAAGUUUCGGCGGUUGGGGAUGGACUCGCGGCUUAUCAGCUUGUUGGUGGGGUAGUGGCUUACCAAGGCUUUGACGGGUAGCCGGCCUGGGAGGGUGACCGGCCACAUUGGGACUGAGAUACGGCCCGGACUCCUACGGGGGGCAGCAGUGGGGAAUAUUGCACAAUGGGCGGAAGCCUGAUGCAGCAACGCCGCGUGCGGGAUGACGGCCUUCGGGUUGUAAACCGCUUUCGCCUGUGACGAAGCGUGAGUGACGGUAAUGGGUAAAGAAGCACCGGCUAACUACGUG